rnacentral:rRNA from 1 species
UACGUAGGGUGCAAGCGUUAAUCGGAAUUACUGGGCGUAAAGCGUGCGCAGGCGGUCUUUUAAGUCAGAUGUGAAAUCCCCGGGCUUAACCUGGGAACUGCGUUUGAAACUGGAAGGCUAGAGUGUGGCAGAGGGGGGUGGAAUUCCACGUGUAGCAGUGAAAUGCGUAGAGAUGUGGAGGAACACCGAUGGCGAAGGCAGCCCCCUGGGCUGACACUGACGCUCAUGCACGAAAGCGUGGGGAGCAAACAGG